UACGUAGGUGGCAAGCGUUGUCCGGAAUUACUGGGCGUAAAGCGUGCGCAGGCGGUUAUUUAAGACAGUUGUGAAAUCCCCGGGCUCAACCUGGGAACUGCAUCUGUGACUGUAUAGCUAGAGUACGGUAGAGGGGGAUGGAAUUCCGCGUGUAGCAGUGAAAUGCGUAGAUAUGCGGAGGAACACCGAUGGCGAAGGCAAUCCCCUGGACCUGUACUGACGCUCAUGCACGAAAGCGUGGGGAGCAAACAGG
rnacentral:rRNA from 1 species